rnacentral:rRNA from 1 species
UACGUAGGGUGCGAGCGUUGUCCGGAAUUAUUGGGCGUAAAGAGCUCGUAGGCGGUUUGUCGCGUCGGCCGUGAAAACUUGGGGCUUAACUCCAAGCUUGCGGUCGAUACGGGCAGACUUGAGUUCGGCAGGGGAGACUGGAAUUCCUGGUGUAGCGGUGAAAUGCGUAGAUAUCUGGAGGAACACCGGUGGCGAAGGCGGCAUCCUGGACCGGUAUUGACGCUGAUGCGCGAAAGCCAGGGGAGCAAACGGG